GAUGAAGAACGUAGUGAAAUGCGAUAAGUAAUGUGAAUUGCAGAAUUCAGUGAAUCAUCGAAUCUUUGAACGCACAUUGCGCUCCUUGGCACUCCGAGGAGCAUGCCUGUUUGAGCAUCAUUUGAACAACCCAUCAGUCUUCCGCGCUUGUGGCAACACUUCGCGGCUCACUGGAUUUGAGUCCAUCCACCGGUCCUCGCGGCCGGCGGAGACUUGGAAUGAAUGCGCAGCGAGUCCGGAUUCGCUAAGCAACUCUGGCGUAAUAUUUAGCUUUCGCGAGCUAAUCUUCGCCUCUGUUGUGAAUCCUGCUCGUACUUUGCCCACACCUCGGCACGCUAGAGUGUCGAUAGACUUCUGGUCUACUUCAAUUGCUCGAUCUCAAAUCAGGUAGGAUUACCCGCUGAACUUAAGCAUAUCAAUAAGCGGAGGA
rnacentral:misc_RNA from 1 species